CAAAGAUCGUAAAGGACUACCUCAGUGAUCGUAUAACCCAUGCUGGUUGUGGAGCUGACUUUAUCGUUUUGUUGUCAGAACGUAAGAUACUUCUGUCUUGUGGACAUGGGCAAUCGGGCAGCCUCGGUCACGGCGGUCAUUUUGACAGUGCAAAUAAACCCAAGAUAGUGCAAGCUUUACUAGGCCACGAGAUAACACAUGUGGCCUGUGCAGCAUCGCAUGUUCUUGCCAUUGACGAAAAUCAUGACGUCUUCGCCUGGGGAGAUGCCAGACAUGGAAUGCUGGGGAUUGACUUUUCCACUUCAACGGAUCUUCCUGUGAAAGUGGAGCUACCUAGUGGCGUUCGUCCCACACAUUGUUUCUGCACAAUGGACAGCAGCUACUUAGUCACAGAUGCAGGCGAACUUUGGGCCUGUGGAAGCAACAGGAAUAAGAAGCUAGGCAUCAACGACGGCAGAAAACACAUUGGAGAAUUCACCGAAGUUCCUCGACGUCUGUUUGCAGGCCAUCAUGUCAUUCACGUGACUGGCAAUGAAAACACCACCAUGAUACUAACUGGUGAGAUGAUCUAGUUCUCAAAGCCUUCUCACAAAAAGACAACAUGGUGGGGGGCGAAGUUUGAAUAAGUUGGGCCCUUUCAUGCAUGCACCUCAAACCUUUAAGAGGAUGCUUUCCCAAUGUGCUCCGAGUUAAAUGCAUGAUAACAGAGAAAUUGUUUUGUUUGGCACCCACUUCACAUAUCUUGAUAAGGCUUGUUGCAUUUAAAAGAGACCUUGCGACUGUUAGAAACAAAUUUUU
rnacentral:lncRNA from 1 species